GGAAAGACUGUGAAUGAGAAAGUAGAUUUGAAAAUCUUUUUAAGGGAGAGAAGGUCAUAGACUGAGAGCCUUCUUAUAAGAGUUCAUUUUGAAGUUCCCUCAGGAGUCCUAAUGGUGAAAUUUUAGUAGCUGUUAGCGGGAAACCGUUAUUUGAAUUAAGUGAGCUUAGGCUAAUUAGGGUGGUACCACGGAUACCCCGUCCCUUUA
rnacentral:ncRNA from 1 species